UAAUUGGAGAGUUUGAUCCUGGCUCAGAAUGAACGCUGGCGGCGUGCUUAACACAUGCAAGUCGCACGAGAACUCUUCUGCUUGCAGAAGAUAGUAAAGUGGCGCACGGGUGAGUAACGCGUGGGUAAUCUACCUCUGAAUUGGGGAUAACAUUGCGAAAGCGAUGCUAAUACCGAAUAAUAUCCCGAAAACUUAGGUUUUUGGGAUCAAAGAUGGCCUCUACAUGUAAGCUAUUGUUUGGAGAUGAGCCCGCGUACCAUUAGCUUGUUGGUAGGGUGAUGGCCUACCAAGGCAACGAUGGUUAGCUGGUCUGAGAGGAUGAUCAGCCACACUGGAACUGACACACGGUCCAGACUCCUACGGGAGGCAGCAGUGAGGAAUUUUGCGCAAUGGGGGAAACCCUGACGCAGCAACGCCGCGUGAGUGAUGAAGGCUU
rnacentral:rRNA from 1 species